GUGAAAUGGUGCGGUAAGAGCGCACCGCGUUGCGGGUAACCGUAAUGGCAGGGAAAACCCCACGUGGAGCAAGACCAAAUAGGGGAGGAUGGCGUGGCCCACGCCGUUUGCACUCCCGGGUAGGUUGCUUGAGCCUGUCAGCAAUGGCAAGGCCAGAGGAAUGACUGCCGCCCAGCCGUAAGGUUGGGACCAGAAACCGGCUUAUCGCCGCGUCCAUCUC
rnacentral:RNase_P_RNA from 1 species